rnacentral:rRNA from 1 species
CCUACGGGAGGCAGCAGUGGGGAAUAUUGCGCAAUGGGCGAAAGCCUGACGCAGCGACGCCGCGUGAGGGAGGAAGGUCGUCGGAUCGUAAACCUCUGUCAGCAGGGAAGAAGGGUCACUGGGCUAAGCAGCAGUGAAUUGACGGUACCUGCAAAGGAAGAACCGGCUAACUCCGUGCGAGCAGACGCGGUAAGACGGAGGGUGCGAGCGUUAAUCGGAUUUACUGGGCGGAAAGCGCUCGUAGGCGGUAUGUCAAGUCAAGGGUGACAUCCCCGCGCUCAACGUGGGAAAUGCCUUUGAAACUGGCAUACUGGCGUGUGUGAGAGGCUAGUUGAAUUCCCUGUGUAGCGG